AAGGCUGGGAGGGGAUGAUUGAGAGCAUUUGGGAACUUGGGGAACUCCUUUUGCAGGGCAGCAUUAUCUGUGAGUUCCCCCAUAACAGGAAGGGACUGCCAUGGUGUUGGAGAAGGAAGGAUUUCCUCAUGGUAACAUUACUGAUAGCACGUGGAUGCCUGGAGGAUGAGGGAUUGCCGUGGGGUUGGAGUGAAUGCAGUGCCUGAUGCAAGGAGGCUUCAUCCAAAUGAAUAACAGUCCUGGCCCCCUGCAGCAAACACCCACCCCAAAUCCAUUUUCCCUUAAUCCACAGGCAGCAGCACGUUCCCAGCCAGCAGGUGCAAGCCACCGACUACGGAGAAGUCCAGUACUCAACCGUUGCCCACUUUCGAAGGGACAAGCCUCCCGUGAAGCAGAUGACCCGCAGCAGAGAUGCAUAGGCUUCAGCAUGCCAAGGCAACCAGGACUGCGUCACGGCCAUUGUGUUUUCUUGCAGAGGGCUCUUGGGGCAGAACAUGGGGCUUUUGGGUUCAUGGGGUAUGCUCUCCCAUUAUUUCUAGCCACAGAGAUAUAUGACUUGCUUAUGUAUGGACCACCUAGCAUAUCAAUAAAAUAUCACAGCUAUUUUAGAGACAUCGGCAA
rnacentral:lncRNA from 1 species